CCUACGGGUGGCAGCAGUCGAGAAUCAUUCACAAUGGGGGAAACCUGAUGGUGCGACGCCGCGUGGGGGAAUGAAGGUCUUCGGAUUGUAAACCCCUGUCAUGUGGGAGCAAAUUAAAUAGACAGUACCACAAGAGGAAGAGACGGCUAACUCUGUGCCAGCAGCCGCGGUAAUACAGAGGUCUCAAGCGUGGUUAGGAAUCACUGGGCGUAAAGGGUGCGUAGGCUGUUUGGUAAGUCGUGUGUGAAAGGCGCGGGCUCAACCCGCGGACGGCACAUGAUACUGCGAGACUAGAGUAAUGGAGAGGUAAGCGGAAUGCGGGGUGUAGCAGUGAAAUGCGUAGAUAUCGAGAAGAACACUCGUGGCGAAGGCGGGUUCCUGGACAUUAACUGACGCUGAGGCACGAAAGCGAGGGGAGCGAAAGGGAUUAGAUACCCUGGUAGUC
rnacentral:rRNA from 1 species